CACAUUGGGAGUUAGGAUUUGAACAUAUGAACUUUAGGUAUACACAAUCACGCACUUCGUAACAGGAGGCAAACAUGAGGACAAAAGCUACACAUUAAUGAUGGCAGAGUGGAAAGAUAGAAGAAGCUGGAGAGACAUGUUAAAUUCAAAUUGCUACAUCAGUCUUCAACAGUGGACACGGAUGAAGCUGGAAACCAUCAUUCUCAGCAAACUAACACAGGAACAGAAAACCAAACACCACAUGCUCUCACUCAUAAGUGGGAGUUGAACAAUGAGAACAUGUGGGCACAGGGAGCGGAACAUCACACACUGGGGCCUCUUGGGGGUAGGGGGCAAGGGGAGGGAUAGCAUUAGGAGAAAUACCUAAUGUAGAUGACUGGUUGAUGGGUGCAGCAAACCACCAUGGCACACGUAUACCUAUGUAACAAACCUGCAUGUUCUGCACAGGUAUCCCAG
rnacentral:lncRNA from 1 species